UACGGAGGGGGCAAGCGUUGUUCGGAAUUACUGGGCGUAAAGGGCGCGCAGGCGGCUGCUCAAGUCAGGCGUGAAAGGCCUGGCUCAACCCGGGAAUUGCGCUUGAGACUGGGCUGGCUUGAGUGCGGGAGAGGAUGGUGGAAUUCCCGAGUGUAGAGGUGAAAUUCGUAGAUAUUGGGAAGAACACCGGUGGCGAAGGCGGCCAUCUGGACCGCAACUGACGCUGAGGCGCGAAAGCGUGGGGAGCAAACAGGG
rnacentral:rRNA from 1 species